rnacentral:rRNA from 1 species
UACAGAGGUCUCAAGCGUUGUUCGGAUUCAUUGGGCGUAAAGGGUGCGUAGGCGGCGCGGUAAGUCGGAUGUGAAAUCUCGGAGCUUAACUUCGAAACUGCAUUCGAUACUGCCGUGCUUGAGGACUGGAGAGGAGACUGGAAUUUACGGUGUAGCGGUGAAAUGCGUAGAUAUCAGAAGGAACAUCAGUGGCGAAGGCGGCUUCCUGGACCAAUACUGACGAUCAGGUGCGAAAGCGUGGGGAGCAAACAGG